rnacentral:rRNA from 1 species
AACGCGAAGAACCUUACCUGGUCUUGACAUGUACGGAAUCCUCCAGAGACGGAGGAGUGCCUUCGGGAGCCGUAACACAGGUGCUGCAUGGCUGUCGUCAGCUCGUGUCGUGAGAUGUUGGGUUAAGUCCCGCAACGAGCGCAACCCUUGUCAUUAGUUGCCAUCAUUUAGUUGGGCACUCUAAUGAGACUGCCGGUGACAAGCCGGAGGAAGGUGGGGAUGACGUCAAGUCCUCAUGGCCCUUAUGACCAGGGCUUCACACGUCAUACAAUGGUCGGUACAGAGGGUAGCCAAGCCGCGAGGUGGAGCCAAUCUCACAAAACCGAUGUAGUCCGGAUUGCACUCUGCAACUCGAGUGCAUGAAGUCGGAAUCGCUAGUAAUCGCAGUCAGC